rnacentral:rRNA from 1 species
UACAGAGGUCCCAAGCGUUGUUCGGAUUCACUGGGCGUAAAGGGUGCGUAGGUGGUCAGGUAAGUUUGGUGUGAAAUCUCCGAGCUUAACUCGGAAACGGCACUAAAAACUACUUGGCUGGAGGGUCGGAAGGGGGGCUGGAAUUCUCGGUGUAGCAGUGAAAUGCGUAGAUAUCGAGAGGAACACCAGUGGCGAAAGCGAGUCCCUGGACGACUCCUGACACUGAGGCACGAAAGCUAGGGGAGCAAACAGG